CUGUUCAGCUGUGUAUCUGUUUAUGUUCUCUGUGAUGGGUCAAACAAUGAAUAGGACCCAGCUGUGUUUUCAUGCAGAGGACAGCUGAAAAGGUUUGAGCCUCUGAGGGAGCACUAGCUGAGAUUUGUUAGCAUAAUGCUGCCCACAGGGUUCCCAUGUGUUCAAGAAACUCUUACGAGAGAUGACCACAACCCCCUGAACUUGGAACCCCGUCUAGUGCCUGCAGGGUCCCACUGCUGGACAUGGGACUACCAGCAGCACAAGAUGGAGUGGAGUGACCUGUUUACAGCCCCUCACUGCUCAGGAUUAGUAUUUCCAACUUAUUUCAUAAAAAAUGACAGAACCUGCACCCACAGAAAAAUGUUGACAAACUGAAUGGUAGGUGCCAAGAGCCACAGCUCUGAGUGGCAUCACCUGGAUCUGCCCCUGUUUGUUUGCAGACACCUGGCAGAUGAAAUUUAAGAAAACCCUUAAACUUGGAGCACACCAGGAGGUCACUGGAAUACCUCCAGCUCCAUGAGACUCUGAUAGAAAUAAAACGAUGGGCCAGAUCCUCUCCA
rnacentral:lncRNA from 1 species